GAAAGAGUUCCUGCCCCAAAGAGUUUACAAUCUAAGAAUAAGGCUCGGCUUCCCUGUCCAGCAUCUGUCAUCUGGUAGGAUCCCUUCCCCUGCAAAGAGGACCCGUCCCACCCUAAAUAAUGAGGAGUCUAUUAAUAAAGAUCAAAGUGAUGGCAAGUGCUUGGGACCUCAAUCCUCUGGCUAAUGGCAAGCUUUUGGAAAGGAGCUCCAAGGAGUCCCUUGAUGUUCCUUCAGGAUCACAGGAAAGCAGAACAGAUAGGACACUCAGGAGAUGUUGUUUCUUCUCUUUCUCUCUUCUUUUUAUAGGUGAGGAAGCUGUUGGAAAAAAAUCCCUAACACUUCUACCACCAGGAUGGAUAGAUGCCUGCAGGUAUGUUUCCUCACUUGGUACGAAGGCCUAAAAGCCAGAGAGAGAAUGACAGCUUGAAGUGCGUUUAACUCUACAGUUUCACUGUC